rnacentral:rRNA from 1 species
UAAGCGGAGAGUUUGAUCCUGGCUCAGAACGAACGCUGGCGGCGUGCCUAACACAUGCAAGUCGUGCGAGAACGCUCCCUUCGGGGAGCUAGUAAAGCGGCGCACGGGUGAGUAACACGUGGGUAAUCUGCCCUUGAGUUUGGGAUAACCCGGGGAAACCCGGGCUAAUACCAAAUGCGCCCCAGGGGUCUUCGGACUCCUGGGAGAAAGAUGGCCUCUGCUUGCAAGCUAUCGCUCAUGGAUGAGCCCGCGUCCCAUUAGCUUGUUGGUGAGGUAACGGCUCACCAAGGCUUAGAUGGGUAGCUGGUCUGAGAGGAUGAUCAGCCACACUGGAACUGAGACACGGUCCAGACUCCUACGGGAGGCAGCAGUGGGGAAUUUUGGGCAAUGGGCGA